CGACAGGCUUAACACAUGCAAGUCGAGGGGCAGCGGGGGUAGCGAUACCCGCCGGCGACCGGCGCACGGGUGAGUAACGCGUAUGCAACUUGCCUAUCAGAGGGGGAUAACCCGGCGAAAGUCGGACUAAUACCGCAUGAAGCAGGGGCCCCGCAUGGGGAUAUUUGCUAAAGAUUCAUCGCUGAUAGAUAGGCAUGCGUUCCAUUAGGCAGUUGGCGGGGUAACGGCCCACCAAACCGACGAUGGAUAGGGGUUCUGAGAGGAAGGUCCCCCACAUUGGUACUGAGACACGGACCAAACUCCUACGGGAGGCAGCAGUGAGGAAUAUUGGUCAAUGGCCGAGAGGCUGAACCAGCCAAGUCGCGUGAGGGAUGAAGGUUCUAUGGAUCGUAAACCUCUUUUAUAAGGGAAUAAAGUGCGGGACGUGUCCCGUUUUGUAUGUACCUUAUGAAUAAGGAUCGGCUAACUCCGUGCCAGCAGCCGCGGUAAUACGGAGGAUCCGAGCGUUAUCCGGAUUUAUUGGGUUUAAAGGGUGCGUAGGCGGCCUUUUAAGUCAGCGGUGAAAGUCUGUGGCUCAACCAUAGAAUUGCCGUUGAAACUGGGGGGCUUGAGUAUGUUUGAGGCAGGCGGAAUGCGUGGUGUAGCGGUGAAAUGCAUAGAUAUCACGCAGAACCCCGAUUGCGAAGGCAGCCUGCCAAGCCAUUACUGACGCUGAUGCACGAAAGCGUGGGGAUCAAACAGGAUUAGAUACCCUGGUAGUCCACGCAGUAAACGAUGAUCACUAGCUGUUUGCGAUACACUGUAAGCGGCACAGCGAAAGCGUUAAGUGAUCCACCUGGGGAGUACGCCGGCAACGGUGAAACUCAAAGGAAUUGACGGGGGCCCGCACAAGCGGAGGAACAUGUGGUUUAAUUCGAUGAUACGCGAGGAACCUUACCCGGGUUUGAACGCAUUCGGACCGAGGUGGAAACACCUUUUCUAGCAAUAGCCGUUUGCGAGGUGCUGCAUGGUUGUCGUCAGCUCGUGCCGUGAGGUGUCGGCUUAAGUGCCAUAACGAGCGCAACCCUUGCCACUAGUUACUAACAGGUAAAGCUGAGGACUCUGGUGGGACUGCCAGCGUAAGCUGCGAGGAAGGCGGGGAUGACGUCAAAUCAGCACGGCCCUUACAUCCGGGGCGACACACGUGUUACAAUGGCGUGGACAAAGGGAGGCCACCUGGCGACAGGGAGCGAAUCCCCAAACCACGUCUCAGUUCGGAUCGGAGUCUGCAACCCGACUCCGUGAAGCUGGAUUCGCUAGUAAUCGCGCAUCAGCCAUGGCGCGGUGAAUACGUUCCCGGGCCUUGUACACACCGCCCGUCAAGCCAUGGGAGCCGGGGGUACCUGAAGUCCGUAACCGAAAGGAUCGGCCUAGGGUAAAACUGGUGACUGGG
rnacentral:rRNA from 1 species